UGUGUGUGUGUGUGUCCCUGUGUGUGUGUCUGUGUGUGCGUGUGUGUGUGUGUGCGCCAUCCUUGUGUGUUUGUGCCAUGUCCAUUUGUGUGUGUAUGUGCGGGUGGGUGGGUGUGUGUUUACACAACCUCCAGUUGUUAUAGCUGAGACAGACCAUACGGUAUAUUUAAACCAUGACAUCACCACCAGUCCCUCCAAUCGCAGACAUCCUCCAGUAGUGUGGAGAUGGAUCAGUAUAUCACUGCACAGCACGUAAUGAAGGUCCUGUUAUAUGUUAGAGGGUUGUUAGUCCUGCUAUAUAGUUAGUCUGUUAUAUGUUAGAGGGGUGUUAGUCCUGCUAUAUAGUUAGUCUGUUAUAUGUUAUAUGUUAGAGGGUUGUUAGUCCUGCUAUAUAGUUAGUCCUGCUAUAUAGUUAGUCUGUUAUAUGUUAUAUGUUAGAGGGUUGUUAGUCCUGCUAUAUAGUUAGUCUGUUAUAUGUUAGAGGGGUGUUAGUCCUGCUAUAUAGUUAGUCUGUUAUAUGUUAGAGGGGUGUUAGUCCUGCUAUAUAGUUAGUCUGUUAUAUGUUAGAGGGGUGUUAGUCCUGCUAUAUAGUUAGUCUGUUAUAUGUUAUAUUUUAGAGGGGUGUUAGUCCUGCUAUAUAGUUAGUCUGUUAUAUGUUAGAGGGUUGUUAGUCCUGCUAUAUAGUUAGUCUGUUAUAUGUUAUAUGUUAGAGGGGUGUUAGUCCUGCUGUAUAGUUAGUCUGUUAUAUGUUAUAUUAUACUUAAUGCUACUUACAGGCAUCUAGUAGUAACUAUGUCCUUCUUUCCACUUGUCAAUAACACACACACACACACACACACACACACACACAGACACAGGCAUACACAC